CCUACGGGUGGCAGCAGUGGGGAAUAUUGGACAAUGGGGGGAACCCUGAUCCAGCCAUGCCGCGUGUGUGAAGAAGGCCCUCGGGUUGUAAAGCACUUUCAGUGAGGAAGAACGCCUGGUGGUUAAUACCCAUCAGGAAAGACAUCACUCACAGAAGAAGCACCGGCUAACUCCGUGCCAGCAGCCGCGGUAAUACGGAGGGUGCGAGCGUUAAUCGGAAUUACUGGGCGUAAAGCGCGCGUAGGUGGCUUGAUAAGCCGGUUGUGAAAGCCCCGGGCUCAACCUGGGAACGGCAUCCGGAACUGUCAAGCUAGAGUGCAGGAGAGGAAGGUAGAAUUCCCGGUGUAGCGGUGAAAUGCGUAGAGAUCGGGAGGAAUACCAGUGGCGAAGGCGGCCUUCUGGACCGACACUGACACUGAGGUGCGAAAGCGUGGGUAGCAAACAGGAUUAGAUACCCUUGUAGUC
rnacentral:rRNA from 1 species